rnacentral:rRNA from 1 species
AGUGAACGCUGGCGGUAGGCCUAACACAUGCAAGUCGAACGGCAGCACAGUAAGAUCUUGCUCUUACGGGUGGCGAGUGGCGGACGGGUGAGGUAUAUAUCGUAAUCUACUUUUUCGUGUGGGUUAACGUAGGUAAACUUACGCUAAUACCGCAUACGCCCUACGGUUGAAAGCAGUGGAUCUUCUCACCUUGCGCGAUUGAAUGAGCCGAUGUCGGAUUAGCUAGUUGGCGGGGUAAUGGCCCACCAAGGCGACGAUCCGUAGCUGGUCUGAGUGGAUGAUAGGCGGCACUGGAAGUGAGACAGGGUCCAGGCUACUGCGAGAGGGACCAGUCGGGAAUGUUAGGCAACAGUGGGGAGCAUGAUCCAGCCGUACCGCGUGGGAGAAGAAGGCCCUCGGGUUGGAAAGCCGUUUUGUGGGGAGAAAAAAGCAGCAGGUUAAUACCCCGCGGUACUGACGGUACCGAAAGAAUAAGCACCGGCUAACUACGUG